AGAUGAGCGGCCGUGUUAUAGAGAGAAAGGGUUUCGAUCAGGACGAGCAACACUGAACCUGCAUCAGGAGGAAACCGUGGAGCUGACACAACAUCCUGCUGAUGCUCAACCACUGGACUUGUGUUAGAGCACAGGAGUCCCAGAACUGCAGGACAGGGUCUCUGUGUCUUCAUUGUUGCUGAGGAUACAUCUGAGGAGCACACAUCACUUCCACAACGCAUCCAACGGUCAGUGUCAUCUGAAUCAGAAUUUUUAACAAGUUGUUAUUUUUUUUCAUUGCAAUGCAUUGCAUCCAUGCAUAUUCCCAAGGUCAUACCUAAUUAUAAGGCUAGCAGCAUUUUUGUAAAUGCUUAUUCUACUUUAUUGGUACAUUCAGAUUUGACAGAAAAGCUUGUAAAAAUGUCACUGCGAUGAUACAAAUACAAAUAAAACAUGCAUAUUGGUUUAAUACUUUGAUGGCUCUCUAAUGGAAACUUCUGUUUUUUAAUACUUCGUUUUUGAAGAAACAUGGCACUUUUGCAGGACACCUGAAGCAAGAUGACAUUGAUGCAGCUAUCCAGGCUUGUCACACACACACAAACACACACACACCAGACAAGCAGAUAUCAGAUCACAUACUUACUGUAAUUAUUCAUCCCAAAUGCCACACAAUAACAUGUUGUCCAAACCGAUGGAAUAUAGCAAUUUUUUUAAAUCACAUGCACAUAUUUUCAAAAAUGAUGCUAGAAAAAGGCCUACUUUUAAGAUUUAUUCAUUUGAGUUAUAUGCAUAUUCCAUCCAAUUUGAACAUAAAACAAUGAACUUAACUUGAUGCAUAUCUGUCACUCAUUCAUUAAACGUCUUAGAAACAGGUCAGAAAAAAAUCAUGGCAUAGUUUGUCAUUAACUUUUGGCAUCUACUGAUUUCAUUUAAAUAAUCCUAAUUUUAUAGUGUAUUUAUUCAAGCAUAAAUCAACAUAAAUCUGUACACCGUGAAAACAGUUAGGAAGUAUAAGCAUUGUGAAUAUCUCCAGCGAUGGCUAGCUGUGUAACAAGCAAUAUUAGUUCAGUUAUGAGAUUGAAAAAAAAUAGCAUUUAUAGAUCAUAAGUAUAUAAACCCAGUUAUUACUGACAAAUAUGCAUCACAUAAUGUUUAUUCGGAUGGACAUUUUGUACAAAAUGCAAAUGCAUAAACAGUCUAAAUAUUUUCAUGUUGUUGAGCAUUUUUUUGUCAUUCAGCCCCGGGGACUUUCAACCACAAGACAAGUGUGGCUGAUAGGUAAAGCUACUUCAGACGGGGAGAAGGUGUUCAAGGCCCUGGACCAGGUUUAUUGAAAAAGAGGAGCUGAAAUGCUUCCUCCAGAACGUCUGCUCAAAGGCCAGAGAGCUCACGGAGGACGAGACCACCUCUCUCUUGGGAGCUGGGGACAGUGAUGGAGACGGCAAAAUUGGGAUGGAAG